rnacentral:rRNA from 1 species
UACGGAGGGAGCUAGCGUUGUUCGGAAUUACUGGGCGUAAAGCGCACGUAGGCGGCUUUGUAAGUUAGAGGUGAAAGCCCGGGGCUCAACUCCGGAACUGCCUUUAAGACUGCAUCGCUUGAAUCCAGGAGAGGUGAGUGGAAUUCCGAGUGUAGAGGUGAAAUUCGUAGAUAUUCGGAAGAACACCAGUGGCGAAGGCGGCUCACUGGACUGGUAUUGACGCUGAGGAGCGAAAGCAUGGGGAGCGAACAGG